rnacentral:rRNA from 1 species
AAACUUUCAACAACGGAUCUCUUGGUUCUGGCAUCGAUGAAGAACGCAGCGAAAUGCGAUAAGUAAUGUGAAUUGCAGAAUUCAGUGAAUCAUCGAAUCUUUGAACGCACAUUGCGCCCGUCAGUAUUCUGGCGGGCAUGCCUGUUCGAGCGUCAUUACGCCCCUCAAGUCCCCUGCGGACUUGGUGUUGGGGAUCGGCGAGGCUGGUUUUCCAGCACAGCCGUCCCUUAAAUUA